AUUGAACGCUGGCGGCAUGCUUUACACAUGCAAGUCGAACGGCAGCGCGGGAUUCGGCUUGGCGGCGAGUGGCGCACGGGUGAGUAAUGCAUGGGAACGUGCCCAGCAGUGGGGGAUAGCCCGGCGAAAGCCGGAUUAAUACCGCAUAAGACCAGAGGGUGAAAGCGGGGGACCAGAAGGCCUCGCGCUCUUGCAGCGGUGGAUGUCGGAUUAGCUAGUUGGUGGGGUAAAGGCUUACCAAGGCGACGAUCCGUAGCUGGUCUGCGAGGACGAGCAGCCACACUGGAACUGAGACACGGCCCAGACUCCUACGGGAGGCAGCAGUGGGGAAUUUUGGACAAUGGGGGCAACCCUGAUCCAGCCAUGCCGCGUGCGGGAAGAAGGCCUUCGGGUUGUAAAGCGCUUUUGUUGGGGAAGAAAUCCUCUGGGCUAAUACCCCGCGGGGAUGACGGUACCGGAAGAAUAAGCACCGGCUAACUACGUG
rnacentral:rRNA from 1 species